UACGAAGGGUGCAAGCGUUACUCGGAAUUACUGGGCGUAAAGCGUGCGUAGGUGGUUCGUUAAGUCUGUCGUGAAAGCCCCGGGCUCAACCUGGGAAUGGCGAUGGAUACUGGCGGGCUAGAGUGCGGUAGAGGGUGGUGGAAUUCCCGGUGUAGCAGUGAAAUGCGUAGAGAUGUGGAGGAACACCGAUGGCGAAGGCAGCCCCCUGGGCUAACACUGACGCUCAUGCACGAAAGCGUGGGGAGCAAACAGG
rnacentral:rRNA from 1 species